CAGUCUUCAGCUCAGAGCAAAAACUCACACCAAGUUGGCUCCUGGAUGUUUUGCCCUCAGCUCCUGUGCCCGAGAAGACACUGUCACUCAGGAGCAGUCCUUCUCAGAGAUCGGAGCUGUCUUUGGAGAGAUCUUGAGAGAAAAAAUGGAGAAUUGGGUGAGCUGCAUGGAGAAAAUAUUUUCGAAUGGAGAAAUGGCACAAAGAAGCAUGGGGACAAUUAAAAUUUGCUUUUAAAAAGAUGAACUAGUUGUCAGUGUGCUCUAUUUUACUCCACACACUAGUGCUGCUUAAAUUAUAACUUGC
rnacentral:lncRNA from 1 species